CAAAGGAGGAGAAUCAAAUUUAGUGUUGCACUGAACGUGACCUUGCGGUGUUUUCUCUCAGGUCCUUGUGAUUUCAAUCCGCACAGAUGGAUCCUAAUUGGUCAGAUCAGGCUGUUGCUGAUUUACUUCUGCCCUGAAUACACUAAAUAUGAAGACUCACUGACGACAUGUUCAAAAGGAGAGCCCGAGACCCUAACCCUAACACAAUAAAACAUAUAAUC